CAGUAGCCGCGGUAAUACGUAGGUGGCAAGCGUUGUCCGGAAUUAUUGGGCGUAAAGCGCGCGCAAGCGGAUAGGUCAGUCUGUCUUAAAAGUUCGGGGCUUAACCCCGUGAUGGGAUGGAAACUGUAUGCCUUGAGAGCAGGAGAGGAAAGCGGAAUUCCCAGUGUAGCGGUGAAAUGCGUAGAUAUUGGGAGGAACACCAGUGGCGAAGGCGGCUUUCUGGACUGCAACUGACGCUGAGGCUCGAAAGCCAGGGGAGCGAACAGGAUUAGAUACCCGGGUAGUCCCUGUCUCUUAUACA
rnacentral:rRNA from 1 species